UACGGAAGGCAGCAGUGGGGAAUAUUGCACAAUGGGCGCAAGCCUGAUGCAGCCAUGCCGCGUGUAUGAAAAAGGCCUUCGGGUUGUAAAGUACUUUCAGUCGUGAGGAAGGUGUUAAGGUUAAUAACCUUAGCAAUUGACGUUAGCGACAGAAGAAGCACCGGCUAACUCCGUGCCAGCAGCCGCGGUAAUACGGAGGGUGCGAGCGUUAAUCGGAAUUACUGGGCGUAAAGGGCACGCAGGCGGUUAAUUAAGUUGGAUGUGAAAUCCCCGGGCUUAACCUGGGAAUGGCAUUCAAGACUGGUUAGCUAGAGUCUUGUAGAGGGGGGUAGAAUUCCAUGUGUAGCGGUGAAAUGCGUAGAGAUGUGGAGGAAUACCGGUGGCGAAGGCGGCCCCUGGACAAAGACUGACGCUCAUGUGCGAAAGCGUGGGGAGCAAAACAGGGAUUAGAUACC
rnacentral:rRNA from 1 species